AGUGAACGCUGGCGGUAGGCCUAACACAUGCAAGUCGAACGGCAGCAUAGUAAGAGCUGGCUCUUACGGGUGGCGAGUGGCGGACGGUUGAGGAAUACAUCGGAAUCUACUUUUUCGUGGGGGAUAAUGUAGGGAAACUUACGCUAAUACCGCAUACGUCCUACGGGUGAAAGCAGGGGAUCUUCGGACCUUGUGCGAUUGAAUGAGCCGAUGUCGGAUUAGCUAGUUGGCGGGGUAAAGGCCCACCAAGGCGACGAUCCGUAGCUGGUCUGAGAGGAUGAUCAGCCACACUGGAACUGAGACACGGUCCAGACUCCUACGGGAGGCAGCAGUGGGGAAUAUUGGACAAUGGGCGCAAGCCUGAUCCAGCCAUACCGCGUGGGUGAAGAAGGCCUUCGGGUUGUAAAGCCCUUUUGUUGGGAAAGAAAAGCAGCAGGUUAAUACCCCGCUGUUCUGACGGUACCCAAAGAAUAAGCACCGGCUAACUUCGUG
rnacentral:rRNA from 1 species